UCGUGGAGUGAUCUGUCUGCUUAAUUGCGUUUCGCAAAAGGUCAUCACUAACGCUUACUGAGCACCUAACGUUCGCGUUCACCUCUUACACCACUGUUGGUUAACUGAGUUCAUAACCUAACCUCGUUUUCUCUCUUGCUCGGGGAGGAGUUUUCGCCCUCUUUGUUCGCGUGUUGCGGUGAGCACCCUUCACCGGGUGUUCCCCCAUGCCAAAGAGAGGAGUUUUCUCUUUUCCAGUA
rnacentral:rRNA from 1 species